UACGUAGGGUCCGAGCGUUGUCCGGAAUUACUGGGCGUAAAGAGCUCGUAGGUGGUUUGUCGCGUUGUUCGUGAAAACUCACAGCUCAACUGUGGGCGUGCGGGCGAUACGGGCAGACUUGAGUACUGCAGGGGAGACUGGAAUUCCUGGUGUAGCGGUGGAAUGCGCAGAUAUCAGGAAGAACACCGGUGGCGAAGGCGGCUCUCUGGGCCUUACCUGACGCUGGAGGGAGCGAAAGCGUGGGGAGCAAACAGG
rnacentral:rRNA from 1 species